rnacentral:pre_miRNA from 1 species
CAACUACUCCCUCUGUCCCAAAUUUCUUGUCUUAGAUUUGCCUAGAUAUGGAUGUAUCUAAUACUAAAAUGUGACUUGAUACAUCCAUAUCUAGACAAAUCUAAGACAAGAAUUUUGGGACGGAGGGAGUACUUU